ACAAAGAAAAUAAAUGUGUGUAUUCGUCACGCUCCACAAAAGCAGGCUCGAAAGAUGGCUCCCGGUUGAGAAGAAAAACGACGGUAGAUCGAGGGCUCGCAAGCAGGCAACGUUUAUCUGUCCAACUAUCUCGUACAUAUACGUCAAAACAGACAAUAAAGCAUUGCGAGAAAUCUCUCGUGUACAAAACUCGACUCUCGUCUAUGCGAGGACGCAAACACUCGCGAUUCGUGACACGGCCUCGAGCAGAGAGCUUCGAGCGAGUGUAUGACCGAUAUGAAAAAAGAACAGAUGAUUAGAUAUUAUACAUCAAGAGCACUCUACGAUGUUCAAGAUAAGUAUGAAAUUAAGGACACAUCUCGUGUUUACGAAGUUUGUAAGUGGAUCUUCUCGAUUCUUAUCGUUGUUUGAUUUUCAAGUCUUCAAAACACCGUCACACGUUCCUCUCAUAUAUUUCGUUAAACUUUGUCGAUUUAAGAUUUAUUUUGUUUUGAAGAUCAUUUUUAUUAGAUUUCGAGCGACGCUUUUUUUCAUACUUAUUUCUUCGCAUCAAUUUUUAGCAUUGACUCAUUGUAACUCGAUUAGUUCGUACAAUAUUUUCGUCAUAAACUCGGUAUUUUUUCAACUCUUUUUGGGGAAGGUUGUUCGGAAAACGUCUUAUUCGCCCGAUCAUACAUGUGCUGAGAAUGUUCGAAAAAAUUCAUCAUUAAAUACAACACGAAAGAGACACGCGGGCUUUUUCUCGGAACACCGUUUUCAUAGCCGAGGAACGUGAUAUCUGAAGAACCACUCGAUCGAUGCUCUUCAAAUUUCCAGGAGAUGCGAUGGAACCAUUCGAAGGUCAUUAGCGAUCACACUUUUCACAAUCGAUCGGCAUUUCUCAGAAGUUACGUCAAAAUGGCGAGUUUUGUCGUGGAUUUUAUGUGUGCUCGAAUUCCAAUCGCUUCGCUACGGUGAAAAUAAAUAUUCUAGGAAUCGAGGAUCAGCGAUGACUCGCGUAAGCCGAAAGGUUUUUGAACUUCGAAUGAAUCGAUCAAGUCGCAAACUGUCAAACGGAACUCGGACGAAAAGGAAGGAAGAUAACUGGAAUUGAAUCGACGCGUCCAUUUACGUUUUGCGGACUCAAAAUCAUUUGAAUGAGCGUACGAAUUCUCAUCGUCGAAACGAAAGUAAAUUCGAGGAAUGAGACGCGCGAAAACUAUUGAAUUACGACGAAUAACCAGGAGGCAUUAAUUACUUUUGUAAUUAACAUCUCGCUGGAUAAUCCGCGUUAAAUCCGCGUCGGCCGGCGAGAUAUUCGAUUUUCUCGCACGUUAUAAUUCGAUAUCUACGUGCAAUGGUGAUAACUCGUCUACUUACGGCUACUUUGGACGACAUGAUUGCAUAUAAACAAAACUAUGUGACGUUCUCGAUCGAGAAUAACGAAUAAACUGAAAGAGUCCUAAGAGCGAGUUGACUUUAUAAAUCGGAGUCAUUUCAACCUUGACCUCGAGUCGAUCUUAAAACGCGUAUAUAAAAAUUCAUAGUGGCUUAUCUCACGCUGAUGUAUCCUGCGCUUGGAACGUCGGAAGAGGAAGAAAUUCUAAACUGUCGCCGAGUAUUUCGAUCGUCCCAAAUAAUGAUCCUGAACGCCUUUCGUGAUGAAAUUGACCGUCCUCCAAGAUUCGAUGAAUUUGAGGGAGGAUUCCACGAAGACAAAAAUGGAGAAAUGAAAUUAGCAGAAAAUAAACUUUCCAUUUACGAAAUGCGUGCGAGAUGCAACAGCGAAGAUGCGCACGUGCUGUAAAUCUCAUAAAUUUAAAAAACCACGACUAUUUGUGGAGGUCUGUUGUCUUCCAUAUCGUAAUCGCGAUUGACGAUCUAUCGAGAUUCUCGAUUCUCGGGAUACGCGUCGAGAAGUCUGCGUGAAACGAUUGGAAUAUGCCUGUGACGGGAUGGCACGUGAAUAAAAAUAUGAAGGAAGGAUUUUUCUCCACGAUAACACUCGUAUGAAGGAACCUUUUGUUCGCUCGAUGUCAAUCGACGUUUUUGUAAAUGAAAAAUUCAUUAAAAUCUCAAUAGCAACGAAAGCAAUAAAAGCUUCAAGUUCAAAACGAGAUUUCAAAGUCUCAUUAAAAUUAUCAUAAUCGUGGGGAGUUUCAAAGCUGAAUGCUCCAGUGUUUCACAACGCGAUGAUAAAAAGAAGUAACGAAAUAAAUGCCCCAAUUAAUUGCUCUCGUGACAGAUAUAGAGUAUCGAAAUUCCGUGCAUGGAAAAAAGCGAAACUUCUCUCAAGCUUCCUCCGCAAUUGAAUCCAAUUGACUCUGCUGCCGCGGUCACCUUUGAGUUUGUCUAAACGAUACAAAGAGCCUGCCGUUAUUUCACUAAUGAAAGGUAACAACCGGUAGGACGUUUCGUCGCGUCGUAAAAUUCGAAUAACAACGAAAAUGCACGUCCGUGCUUCCAUCCAAUUUCGUCUCCCCCGCCACGAUCUUUGAAUUAUUGCGAAAAAUACUUUCACGAUAACGAAGUUUCUAACGCGAAGAAUAUUGAUAAGAAUGAUGUUGCAUCACUCAUACGUAAUCGUGUUGGGUUAUGAAAAACCAUAUUUGUGUCAAUAGUAUAAUAAUAACAAUGAUUAUCAUUCUCAGUUGCACACUCUUCGGAAAAAACCUUUAUUUCGUUUUAUGCUGACGUUCAACGAUUUUUCAUCAAACUGACCAAACAGUUUCACUCGAUUUUUCUUUUCUCCAAGACUUUUUAUUAUUGAGGCUCUACUAAAAUCAGAUUUUCAAAACUCCCGAAUCGGACUGAAAUCUCAACAUUCUUCAGUUUUCAAAACUUCACGAAAAUUUAUUUGAAAUGAUAAUAAUUCGAAAAAGUUACCCAAAAUAUUUUCUGAUCAAUGAUUUUAUCAAUGGAAUUCUUAAAGUAAAAAAAUUGCAUAAAUUUUUUGAGCCAGUGAUUUGUGAAUAAAUUACUACUGGAAAGUAAGGAAAAAGGUUAAUUUAGAAAGUAUGAAAAAAUUCAAAAGCAUUACAAGAAAUUAACAAAUUAGUUGCAUACGACAGAAAAAUAUUUUCAGUCAGUUUCUCGUCCAAUAAUUUUUCUCAAUAAUUUAUAAAUGACUCGUUGGGAGUUGUAUCAUCGCAUAUCGUUGUUGGCAAAAGAUAUUGAGAAGUUUGACUUGUUAACGAGUCAUUGCUCCGAGACAGCGAUGUCUAAUUCUGUAGGAAUUUCAUUGUGGCAAAUGUGGAUCAAUAUAUUUCAUGAAAACUUUAUUUUACAAGGAAUAAAGAUGCGUGACAUGCAUUUUCAUUUGCUUGAAAGUGAUUGGAUAGUUUUUAAUCGAAAAAUGGAAAAUUGAAUACGAAACGAGAGGAUUUGCGUAAGUUGUAUUUUUCUGGGUUUGUGUAACUUUCUUCAACAGAUAAAAACAAAUAAACAUUUGAUAAGAGCACAA
rnacentral:lncRNA from 1 species